UUUAGUAUAAAUACUCUGUAAAUAUUGAAAUAAAAUUAGUCUAACACCAGGCUCACUCUUAUUCUGAUGCUGAUAAAGUGUCAACCCUUGGGAUCCUCAAAGAUGCAGAUAAUGUAUCCAACGGUAUUACUAAAUCGGUUCUUCUCAGAACCCCAACUUUGAUAGUCACAUCUCUCAUCAUAUACGACUACAGAGAGUGGCUACAGUUGUAUCAUUUAUUACUAUUUAUUAUUUUAACGAUUGACCAUCUCAGGCUAGACCUUUUUCAUCUAAUAGCUUGACUCUGUGAUAUAAGAGUUGUGAUAUUUAUGUGUGUGCGCCGUCCUAGUUUAUUAUUUUAGGUGACAGCUAGUAACCGAUACCAGUGAUGCGAGUCCUGGGUUUCAGUCCUGUGUGACGUGGGCCGACUCAGGGCGGCGAAGCGGUUGCUUAACGGCGUCCCAGACGUCUCCGGCGAAUUCCGCUUUCUCAGCCAGAGAACUUCGCUUAACGAUUUUUCCAAGGCCCGUAUAUGCCGAUACUCCCUUUGAACAGGUCAAGUUUGACAGGUUUCCUCGGGCCAGGAGUCGUUAGUUCUAUUGGGGGCGAGACUUAGAUGACUCUACAAGGCAUCGCUUUGGUACUCGAGGCGAAGCAGAUGAGCCAAAGCUACUCGGCAAGGCUCAUCGGAGCCGGGGUGCCGAAUUAGGGCUUAUGCUUGUCUAAGCCCUGUGGCAAUCACGCCAGACCACCGUGGAAAGUGUGAGAUCGCGGUCUCAUAGAAAUAGCCAAAAGCCUCGUCAUCUAAUUAGUGACGCGCAUGAAUGGAUUAACCAGAUUCUCUGUGACCCUACCCACUAUCUAGCGAAACCACUGCCAAGGGAACGGGCUUGGAAAAAUUAGCGGGGAAAGAAGAUCCUGUUGAGCUUGACUCUAGUCUGGCACCGUAAGGAGACAUGAGAGGUGUAGCAUAAGUGGGAGACGGUA
rnacentral:ncRNA from 1 species